rnacentral:misc_RNA from 1 species
CUCUAAACAAAAUGAUGUUUUCCAACACUGCCAGCAAGCAAACUUGGCUCUGAAAAUUGCAACAGUCGAUAAUGUCUGCUACCAACUCUCAAUGCAUGCUUUUCCCCACAAGGCUAUCUGUUUUUUUGCAACUAUUCGGUUCGCAAAUUCCAAUGAUAUACAGCCGUAAUGCAUUUCAGUUCCCACUUGUCACAAUUUUAAAUAAACCGCGUUUGGACCCAUCGCUCACUGCAAUCGAUAGGGAUGGGGUUUUGGAUGGAGAAUAUUAAAUAUUACAUAAAUGUUGUUAAUAUCCGAAAGAGUAUAAAUGCAACAGCAAAAAAUAUUACGGAAUGUAUACUCGGAAUAAUAAGUGAUUAAAACAGAAUAAAUAGGCAUGCACAUUAAAUCGCCUUUUAUUCAAUGUAUCGAUACGAACUAUCGAUAUAUUUUGUCACAGCCGACUUUCCAUUGAAGAGUGCCACGAGAAAUUGUGCUUAAAGCUAACGAUUUGCUAAAGAAAACGAAAAAAAAUAAAUCCAGGAACGAAAAUGAACAGCCAGGCAAGCCACGGAUCCUCAACGUCUUCCGGCGCCGCUAAGAGACGCCACAGCGCCGAGCACGAGCCGGUGCACGAGUUUGGCGAACAAGUCUGGGCUGACCUGAACAGCCUGUGCAUGGACGAGCACUUCUCGGACGUGUCUUUCAUUGUGGAGGAUCAGCGCGUGCCGGUGCACCGCAUUAUUCUAGGAAAGCGCAGUAAUGACUUCCGCGACCUACUCUGCGGUGACACGGCCGAGUGCGAGGGACAGAUCGGAGUGGAUUCGCUGGAGGCAUUCAAAAUAGUCCUGGGCUACCUUUACUCGGGCACUCUGCCCAUAUCCACACUGGACCAGGAAUGCCAUCAUCCAAGUUCUCGGCCUGGCCAAUCGGUUUGGUUUGCUGGAAGUCGAGUCGGAAAUAGCCAAACCCCUGGAGGAGAAUCUGGCCGUCAGCAACGUUUUCACAAUCCUGAAUCAUAUUCCUGACCUUGAAAUGCCUCGAUUUCGUGGACAAACUUACAACUUACUGCUGGAACACGACUCCUUCCAAAUGCUGUCCAAGUCUUCGCUUGAAGAAGUCCUGCGACGGGACACUUUCUGUGCCAGCGAGCUGGACAUAUUUCUAGCGGUAAGGGAAUGGUGUCGCAACAAGCCGCGCGCGUUCUUCAAGUCGGUGGUCUCGCUUGUGCGCCUCUCUCUGAUGACUGCCGAUGAUCUCCGUCACUCCAGCAAAAGCGCUCUGCUCGUAGAAGAGCGUAGAGAGUAGAGUAAGAGAGUAGAAGAGCGAUCGGACGCCUGAAGGUUUUAAAUGAUGUGACGCUUAAAGCCCUUCUAAACACCAGUCUGGAAAUAUAACCAUAUUCCUUAGACGAUCGAUCCACUUGGCGACUGUUUGAAGUAGCGACGCCUGAGUGAGGAUUUAACGAGUUGUUCCUUUUCUUUUUCAUUUAAAUGGAUUGCAUAUUUUUAUUUGAACUUUAACUAACUUCGUGGAACGAAUUAAAUUCUUAUAACUACAGAUGAAUACACAUUUUGUAUUAAAUAUUUUAUAGAAUUUGUCUUGUUCGAUUUCCAAGAUCCAAUGUUUUAUGGAAUUGGAUGACGAAACUCCUGAGCGGAACCCACAAGUUCUCAGAGCUGGCCAUCCAGCCAGGAUCGGGCAGAUCCCUGCCGCAACGGCAACACCCUCUCAGAGGCGACCACCAUAUCAGGACGAUCUGUGGCAUCCACAAUUUUGAAGGUAAGGUAAAACCGAUAGCGCAGAAUCAUAGACAUCAUUGCUAAUAUUGACCAUUUUAGUGCUUACGCAACCCCCAGCCACGCGCUUACUCAUCCUCUCCCUCAGACACUCUUCCUGGUGCAGUGUGUGGCAUCUGGCGGAAAGGAACCCACAUAUUGACUGAGCGACUGAUUACCCAAGAGAUUAGAUUGGAUUCUGGAGAAGGGAUCGGCCCAUUUUAAGGACUACAAUUCCCUUUGCACUGCCCAU